ACUCCCCCCAAAGUUCGUUGGACCUUUGCAGCCUCCUCCCUAUUCCCAAAGGAGUUUUACUUACCAAAAGUUGAAUCACACAGCCCUGUCUGCUGCCAGUCCACUCCUCCAGUUUCUAAAGAACAUGAGUGAGGGGUAAAGAAAGAGCAGGUCAAGGGAAGGUGAGAAUACAAUCACUGUCUGAUGCAGGCAUGUAGACCAUGCAAUUUUUAGCACUGUUGCAUUGAGCAACAGGCCUACAAGAGGCUGUUUGAGUAUUGAAGACAGCAGAGAUAACACAAAACCUAGAUAAAAGAUAUCGUCUCUGUGGCCCUGAGUGGCUUCAUGGAGGCCUCCUGCAAUCAAUUCUGCCACAAAGAGAACAGACAAUAAUUACUUGAAUAAAUAUUAAAUUAAAAUUCACAUUCAAGACCCUUUCUCCAUGCACAGCGCAGACAGCUCUACAUUCUGGUGCUAAAUCAACUAAAGAUUUCUGGUGUGGUCUGCUAUGGGAUUUCCCAGGUUGUGCCAGUUGAUUGAUCCAUAUGUAGGCCUAUGUUUUUGACGACCCAUAACGGCUGAUUAAAAGGAAACAUACAAGAUUAAUGAAAUUGUGCAGUGUCUGUUUAGCUUAAAGGUACCCUAUGGAGUUUUUGAUAUGAGCACAAGGUUUUUACAAGUAGGUCCCUGUAAACAAUGCAAGCUUUGAUGUAAACCAGGCAGGAUUUAAAUUAUGAACAUCAGCUUACAAUGAGAAAUGAGAAUGGAAACGCACUCGACAUUUUUGGUAGAGCUCAAUGAUACACAGUGGGUUUUGGUGAGUAACACUGAUUUGAUUUGUUUACAAGAAAACUCCACAGGCUACCUUUAAUGUGUGUCAAGCUUCAAAAUCAAAUUCCUGCUGUUGGAAUGCUCAUUUAAUGGGGUUCGCUUUGAUAUGAAAACACUUUAAAUAGCUUCCUCUGGUUUAACAACAUCAUCAUCAUCACCACCAACCUCCUCAUCACUCUACUAACAUUAGGAUCCUGCAGAUGGGGUGAGGUAGCUCUACCACCUUUUUUUGUUGGCAACAACAUGUCUCAACCAAUAACCAGAGGGAAUUGAGUCAUUUAAACACACAGUUGAAAGAAUCCGGCACAAGGCAUCGUGUGUCAAGGACAUCUCAGAUGAGGCCCGUCGUCCUGUGAGACGCAGGAGUGGCUAAACAUGAGGAGAAUUUCUGGCAGGAUAUUAAAAAUAUCCUGUCUGAAACGCCACACUCCCCUGUUGAUUCUUCACUGUGGACAUUCAUUUCCAUGCAGACGUGGUGUCGUCUGACUUUUCCAGUUUGUAAAUACCUGAAUGUCUGUACAACAAAACACAGGGCAUGUGCUGAAAGUGUACUGUGUUGAGUUUUAUCAUUCAUUUCAGUUAUUUGGAGAGCCAGUGUCACUCUUUAUUCUGGAGCUGGUAUAAAAAUCAACAGUCUUCAUCAACACAGAGUGUUACGCAACUGCAAACAUUCCUCCAGCUUAGGAAUAUUUUCCUUUUUUUUACCUUACAUAUACAAAUUGUAUAUUCUCACAUUGCACUAUUAUAGUCUUUUUCUAUACAUUCAAGUUUAAACCAAACAUUUGAUCCUAUGCUGCUAAUAUAAUGUAUAAUUUUCUACAGAGAAAUAAGAGAUAUUUUCUUUUACAUUCACAAGUGUGCACCAUGUUAUUGCUGUUAAACAAAACCUUGUAUCAACCUAUUAGCAAUACAUUUGGCAAUGUACUUCUCAAAUUCUGCAAUGGGCUACAUGUGGUAUAUGACACACUAUUAACCCAGGAAAAGUCUUCACUUCACACAAAACAUGAUAAAUCAUGAAGCUGGAAUUCGAGGUUUUCAUGCAAAGACAAUAUGUGAAACCCAACAACAAAGCCCACCGAGUAUAAAAAUCAACAGCACGCAGUUUUCAUCAACACAGUAUGUUAUGCAUGCAUUCAGAGCUGAAAAAAUUACUAGAAACAUUACAGCCGAGCGCAAACUAGCAAGUUGUUGGCUAGCUAACCAGCAUUAGCUCAACAUGCAACCAGAAGUCUCAUUUGUGAAUACAUUAACUGUUUCUGCAAGUGUCUGUAACUUUCAGAUCACAUGCUGGUAGAGCUUACAGUCAAAAUGCAUGUAGCUGAUUCUUUGCUGAGGCGCCUAUGGUUUGCAGGAGGAACCCUAUCUGUGCACUAUUAACCCAUCAGGUGGCUCUAAACUGUAUGUAAGCCAAGCAUAUCAAUUUUGUAGAAAUUCAUAUUAAAGGGUUAUUUCUAACUCUGUUACACCUGUUUGCUUCUCUACAGGAAGCGACGUGGGGAGGUGACAGGCUGUCUUUCCUCCAGCUCUUCUUUUAUCUUCUUUUAUCUUUUGUCUCCUCCUGCCUUUGAUCUCUACAAAAGUCAAUCAAAGACAGGCCUGAAUGGAACGGUAACACUGUACAAUAUUUCAGUAUUUGGUUACACUGACUGUGUGCAGCACUGUGCUUAUAUUGGUGUCGUAUGUCUCCACCGUGCUGCACUUGUAUGAGAGGUUUUGUUUUAGGUAACUGCAGACUGAGGUCAGGAACAUUCCUGAGGACAAUUAACGUGUGUGAAAUCUGGGGUCUGGGAGCAAGGUAGCACUUGCGGUUGAAGAUUCACACUUUACAUGUCCACUAGGUAGAUUAUUUUAGGACGUAAUGGAGCAGAGAAAAUAGGAAGGGUGUUUAGGCCUCUGUAGCAGCAAUUUAAAGUGAUCAAGCUGGCCAUUAACAGCAGUUUAACAGCUAAUCGUAUGGCUUCCAUAGUGGCUUUAGUGCAGUCCAAGUAUCACUGGCAAUUGCUUUUAUACUUUCAUGGAUCAUUGUUCAAAUGAAACAGUUGUAAUUUCUUUCUUUCUUUCUUUCUUACCUAUCUUCUCCCCUUCCGUUCCUCUUCAGGUGAUUUGAAAGCUUGAAAAUCUCCCAGACUGGAGCUUCAAGUUUUCAGUUCUUCCACCACUGAUCCCACAGAGUUGCUUAUUUCUGACCAAAGAAAUGAUCAAGCACCACUUGUCUCAAGACCUCCAGAGACAGGACACUGCCUUCUACCUUUGGUGUGCUGCAUGUGACUAAAGAUUUAGACAAAAUCUACCCUUAAGGUACUGUAACAUUAUUAAUCCUUUUCAUUUUAUAACAUUUAAAGCACGCUAUUUUGUUUGUUUUUUUGUAUACAUGUUCCUCAGCAUACAUUGUCUACUCACUGCAAAACAACCCCCAUCAUGUUUAUUUCUGUAUAUAAUUAAGACCUAGAAACACAAUUUUUAGAUAUAGUAUAAAAAUCUGCUUGUUAAAAAGGCUUUAGAAUGAGAUGUCUGCAACAUCAUACAUCACAUUUUACCAGAAUGCAUAUUGACAGCCCUAAAGGAAAAUUUGUGAUCUAGCUUUCAGGUGGGCAUGGGCAUAGGUGGGAAACCUGCUCCACCCUGCCUCCAGUAGCUGCCAGUGGUUCCUAAUUCAGGAAUAUUUCGCUAUCUCAGGGCGACUUAUGAAGAUACUCUACGUCCCAUGAAUGAAAUUUAAUAUAUUUUUGGUAACUGACAGAAAUACCAGCUGUUCAUAGCUUUCUUUAAAACAUGUUUGAAUCAUAUUAGCAUGACCAAAAAUGGCCAAAACCAAAUGAUAAAUAGUGAACCUGGAACUUUGGAGGAAGUUGCCCACUUUGCCCUGUCGGUAGAUCAUGUUCUGAGCGUUUCAAUCACUGAAAAUUAAAUGAAUAAAACACAUUCACAGCACUGCA